UCAUUUAAAUACAUUUCUACUUUAACCAAAAAUCGUAACAAGGUUUCCGUAGGUGAACCUGCGGAAGGAUCAUUG
rnacentral:rRNA from 14 species